UGCGGAUAAUAUAGCCUUCCGAAGUUUGCCGUUUUUCAGUCAUUUUGAUUACAAACGGGAAUUAAUUGAUAAUCAGAUGAUCAAACUGAUUAUCAAUUUCCCGUUUGUAAUCAAAAUGACUGAAAAACGGCAAACUUCGGAAGGCUAUAUUAUCCGCAUUUUACAACAUUUCGCAACGAAACUUCGGAAUAUUACUAAUUUUGUGAUGCUCAUUCAAGCUGUGAUGAAAUUUUUGUCCAAACUUGUCUAAAUCAAAAUUUCACUCAAAAAGGGAAAGGUCUAACUAAUGCAAAACAUAUCAAAAUUUUGAAUUUUCACUUUGUGCUGUACGCGAACACAAAAUCUAGUCUAGAUUAAUUUAACCCUUUUCACUCAAUACAUUCACUCGAAUCAUUUUAAUUGUACUCAUUGUAAUAAUCAUGCCAGGUGAUUAUUGUCAAAGGCUACAUUAUGUUAGCAUAUUCAACUAUACACUGCAUCUAAUGCGCUUUAAAUAUGUGGGUUGAUAAAUAUACGACGAGCUACAUUAUGUUAGCAUAUUCAACUACACUGCAUCUAAUGCGCUUUAAAUAUCUAAUGGAAAGUACUGGGUUAUAAUGGGUUAAAGGAGUGAUGGUUGACUUGGUUGUGGUCUAAAGUUCAUCGCGUUGUUGUUCAUGAUUUUCCAUCAUUUCUUUGUCUUUUUCCAAUUCCUCUAUGUAGUAGUCACCUAUAUAUAAAAUUCAAACAGAGGAAUAUUGAUUAUUUCGUUUUAUAUAUGCC